GGGUCGUUAGCUCAGUCGGUAGAGCAGUUGGCUUUAACCAAUUGGUCGUAGGUUCGAAUCCUACACGACCCACCA
rnacentral:tRNA from 1 species